rnacentral:rRNA from 1 species
UACGUAGGGCGCAAGCGUUGUCCGGAAUUAUUGGGCGUAAAGAGCUCGUAGGCGGCCUGUCGCGUCCGCUGUGAAAUCCCGGGGCUUAACCCCGGGCGUGCAGUGGAUACGGGCUGGCUGGAGGCAGGCAGGGGAGAACGGAAUUCCCGGUGUAGCGGUGAAAUGCGCAGAUAUCGGGAGGAACACCAGUGGCGAAGGCGACUUCCUGGCCUGUUCUUGACGCUGAGGCGCGAAAGCUAGGGUAGCAAACGGG